CCGCGGAAAGACCCCCUGGAGUCGACUCCAUUUCCCAAGAAAAGAUGUCAACAGCGCGACUUGUAACAAUUAUAAGGCCGAGGAGGGUUAUUUGAACACACACCAUUCAAUUAUUAUAAAUGAAAGUCACGUUUUUUAACCGCUCCGGUCUCGUCCCAGCGGAAGUGACGCUAGCACGUCAUCAGAAUACAACAGCUUGCUAGCUAACACGCCUCCUAUCAUGUCAGCGCUGUUAUUUGUUCACAUGUCAUUCAUUCCUUCUCAUUUAGAUCAACACGACGAGAGAGACAUUCUGCCGCUAGACGAAGGUCACCGAGCAGCGACGAAGUUUGCAUUUUCGCUAGGUCCAGGGAGCCACGAGGGCGGUGCUAAAGAGACGCGGGUUGCUGACCCCCGGCCUACACCCGAGACUGGCCGCCAGUUCAUCACAGGACACAUGAACAAGCCUUCGCCCUCAAAUCAGAGAAAAACAACAACACCAGAAAUGUGUCCCGUGAAAAACCGUCCGACCAGAACUCUAAUAACUAAAGUUCCUUGGGUGAAUAAUGGUAACUCACUACACCGAAAUGGCAACAGCAGAGGAUGGAUGUCCCAUAACAAGAAGGUGGAGAAAAAGAAGAAGCUUAUCGACUACGGUGUCGGCACGGACUACAAAGGCGGACCUGCACAAAUUUUCAGGUACCAGAAGGCGAUCAGAAAGAUCCACUGAAGAGGAGCUGCAAUUUACCAACAGCGACUGAGGAACAGCACGGUUGGAGAGGGAGUUCCUGUGUUGCGCUUGUGGGCGGAGUUGUGGGACGUGCACAGCUGCUUCCAAUUGACCCUGGUGCUACUUAAGCAGCACCUUGACAGCUGGAUGGCACUCUGCGAUUCCACUCCACGCCAGUUGAUUCUAUGCUUUGAGUAUUUUGCUACCUUGGCCAUUCCCAGUGCCAUCCAUCUUGGUGUUGUUUUGUAGUGUGCACGUCUUUUAACGCCAAACCAAGUCGAGUUUAUUUUUGUAUUUAAGUAGCUUGUGUUUUUUUUCCCACGAUGCACAUUUUGUCUUCUCUUUUUCGCACGGUCACUUUUUGUUACCUCCUGUUUGGAUUGUUUUUGUGAGUAGAUUUCCGCAGUAAAAAAAAGUGUUUUACUCAGCGUUCUGUGCAUCCCUGGGUAACUCUUUACUGUGUUGACCAGCACUCUGACAGAAGGAGUUUCUCCAAAACGCAACACCCUUUGGCGGACAACUUUGUGAUUAAAGGCUAUACAUAUAAAAUGAAAGGGACAGAGGGUAGAAAAAAUGGAUGGAUGCACAGUAAAGCUCUGUGGGAUGAUGUACAUUAUUGACUUUUCCCUAACAUUCCAAACUUUCCCAUGUUUUCUGAAAUGUAUAAUGUUUGAGGGAUUCUAAAAAAGGGGGACAAAAACAAUUGUCAUGUGUAGUUUUUUUAAUAAGAAAUGUAGAUUAUUAAAAACAAAACUAUCCUUCAUAACCUUCCACAUAUAAUGUUGCCAUUUUCUCCAAUCUACAUAUUGCAUAAAGGGGACAUACAUAUAAAACAAUAUUCAUAUUACAAAAGACAAUAAUAAAGAUAAUUAAAAGAAUGGAUUAUUGAGACCCAACAAAUGAUUCAUAAAGUCACACAUUUUAAAAGUAAAUGAUCUUGUAUAAAACACAACUGCUCAAAUGAUGUAUAAAGUAAAUAAUAAUAUGCUUCCAGAAGUGGUCCAGAAGAUGUUUCACAUGUGAACCAGUAAAUAUGAACUAAGAGGGAUUUAUGUGUACUCAAAAGCAAAGGUAUGAACACAUGUAAAACAAAUAUGUACAUCAUAUAAAGGAGUUUAUCUAUAACAUCAUUAAAAAUGAUUUCUGAAUAUCUCUAUAUACAUAGAAAGUAUUUGUAACGUGUUUUGUCCUGUUUAUUCUCACCUUUACAGUCAAAAUGUUGUGUUCAUUUUUAAAUAAAAGUACACAAUGUUGUAUAUUAAAGCAUGUACUUGCCUGAAAAAAGCAAUAAUCUAAAAUAUCUAAUCUAUAAAUGUUAGAAUCUAUGUGCUGAUGUUGUUAGAAAGUCAAAGUUAAAGUUUUGACAGUUUAUUUCAAAUCCUGCAGUUUCAUUUGCUGCUGCUGUUGUCACCAGCACACUUGUGUUUCUUACUCUGGUACUCAGAAGACAAUCUUUCACCACACACACUGCAACUCAACACUGUGUGUAUUCUCAUGUGUCUUUUCAAAUGCGGACUUUGUACAAAACUUUUACAACAUACUGAACAUGUAUAAGGUUUUUCUCCAGUGUGUGUACUCAUGUGUCUUUUCAAAUGCGGACUUUGUACAAAACGUUUACAACAUACUGGACAUGUAUAAGGUUUUUCUCCAGUGUGUGUACUCAUGUGUGUUUUGAAAUAGUCCCUUCGAGUAAAAUCUUUACCGCAGAUUGAACAUGAAAAAGGUUUUUCUCCAGUGUGUAUUUUCAUGUGUGUUUUGAAAUGCUCCCUUUGAGUAAAAUCUUUACCGCAGAUUGAACAUGAAAAAGGCUUUUCUCCAGUGUGUGUUCUCAUGUGUACUUUCAAAUGUGGCCUAUGUGUAAAAUCUUUACCGCAGAUUGAACAUGAAAAAGGUUUUUCUCCAGUGUGUGUUCUCAUGUGUACUUUUAAACUUUGAUUUAUUAUAAAACUUUUACCACAUUCUGAGCAGGAAAAAGGUUUUUCUCCAGUGUGUAUUCUCAUGUGUACUUUUAAAUGUUGCCUAUGAGUUAAACCUUUACCGCAGAUUGUACAUGAAAAAGGUUUUUCCCCAGUGUGUGUUCCCAUGUGUGCUUUUAAACUUUGAUUUGUUACAAACCUUUUACCACAUUCUGAGCAGGAAAAAGGUUUUUCUCCACUGUGUAUUCUCAUGUGUAUUUUCAAAUCGUGCCUAUUAGUAAAAUCUUUACCGCAGAGUGAACAUGAAGACGUUUUUUCUCCAGUGUGUGUUCUCAUGUGUCUUUUCAAAUAACUUGGAUAUUUAAAAGUUUUGUCACAGAGAGAACAUUUGAAGUGAGUGUUGUCAGUGUGACAUGUUGCAUCAUCUUUAGAGUGUUCAUCAUCAGUGUCAGGCGAGUGUGACGUUGUGUCCUCACUAUCUGAUAGUGGAGCUAACAUCUUGUCUGCUUGUGAUCCUCCACAGUGGUCUCCAUCACCUUCUGUUGUCAUGUGUUGUGUUGAGCUGCUGCUUGGAGGCUCCGCCUCUCUCUUCUCCUCACUCUCACCUUUGACCUCAUCACCUUCACUCUUCACAGGGACACCAGUCACUGGCAUCUUGGUGACAUCAAACUCCUCCAGUCCUUCAAGAUGCUCUCCCUGCUGACUGAUGCUGUGUUCCUCCUCUUCCUCUUUAAUGUGAGGGGUCAGUGGGUACUCCUCUUCCUCCUUAAUGUGAGGGCUCAGUGGAUCCACCGCUUCCCCUUUAAAAUGGGGUGUCAGUGGGUCCUCCUCUUCCUCUUUAAAAUGGGGUGUCAGUGGGUCCUCCGCUUCCUUUUUAAAAUGGGGGAUCAGUGGGUAUUCCUCUUCCUUCUUAAUGUGGGAGGGCUGUAGC